GCGGCGGAUCCGACAGGGCUGACGUGGAUCCACCCUGGACGUGGACAAAGAAGACACGCCGCCGCCACGUGGGGGAGACACCGACGGGCCCCCACGGGAAGAAGAGACACCAACACUCGAUCGAUCAGGAGGAAGAGCCCCCCGGGGGAUCGGCGAACUGAAUAAAUCCCGCAGGUCUUCGCAAUCGAGGUCAGGAUUUUCCCAGAUGUCGCCGCUUCAGAAUGAACAUGGAUGAUCACGGCGGGGGAUCGAUUGCGCGGCAGAUGAAGACCUAGCCUCCCAUUCUUACUGUAGAAGUUGAUGAUCGAUCAGGAAGAAGAAGCCCCCGGGGGGAUCGGCAAACUGAAUGAAUCGCGCAGAUCUUCGCAAUCGAGGUUAGGUUUUGCCAGAUCUUGCCGCUUCAGGAUGAACAUGGACGAACACGGCGGAUGAAGACCUAGUUUCCCGUUCUCCAACUGAGCGGGAGAUCCUAGGGCUCGUUGCUCGAUCACGGCGUGAAGACGUCUGGAUUUUCUCCUGCAACCGGAUGCCGGCGAUGAUCUGGACUCGGAGGCGCCUCACCCCCAUCGGUGGAUCUGAUCUCCAUCGCCUGGAGAUCUCAGUUCUUCCUAGCCCCUGGUACUUACUGUCUUAUGAUUUCAACCUGCGAGGAACGAUUCAACCUCAUCUUCCGUCUCCCCGGGGAGAUCACUGAGAAAAAUCAAUCACUUCCAUCAACAAUCAAGAUUCUUAUUCGAAUUCAAACGUGAAUCAUUUCAUUACAGGCGAUCGAAUGAAUGAAUGAACCGGGGUCAGAACAUCGUCAAGCCCCACAACAACAAGAAGUCGUCCUCGCUGGGGCACCACUUCCGUCAUCAGGAUCACUGAAAACCAAUUAUAUAGAGAAAAAAAUGUUAAAAACGCUCGGAUCUUGGUGGAGAAUUCCCCAUCUACCUAAAUCGCAGAUAGAAAACGGACCACUUUCACAUAGCCGUUGACCUUCCAAUGUUCCAGUGAAUUGUCAUCUUGUAAAGGUUUUGCAUUGGGGAUCUAUCACGCAGUUCAUGAAUAUAUGAGAGUGAUUCAUCGAUCUUGGAAUUUUUUUUAGUUCUUUGAGAAAUAAUAAUAAAAACUAGGGGCAGAAACCCUUGGUUAUAUAACAUUAUAACAUUAUUAUAAUGUUCUAUCUCUAGCCUAGGGAAGCCCAAAGCAUAGUAAAAAGACGUGUCUAUCUCUAGUUGACCACCUUGUUUACUUAGAACGUUGACCCAAUAUAGUCAACCCAAUAUGCGUUUACUUGUCCAUGGACCCACUUACUCACUCACUAUAAAACAAACAAAAACUUUUGAACCAUAAGAAAAAAGUAAGAAUUUCUUUAGAAAAAAUAACUGACCCACCCUCUCCUCUUGACACUCUUAGGACCAACAUGCAUGAGGGAUAUAAGAUGGCUUGGC
rnacentral:lncRNA from 1 species